rnacentral:rRNA from 1 species
GAUCAUGGCUCAGGAUGAACGCUGGCGGCGUGCCUAACACAUGCAAGUCGAGCGAAGCGGUUUUAAGGAAGUUUUCGGAUGGAAUUAAAACUGACUGAGCGGCGGACGGGUGAGUAACGCGUGGGUAACCUGCCUCAUACGAGGGGGAUAACAGUUAGAAAUGACUGCUAAUACCGCAUAAGCACACAGCUUCGCAUGGAGCAGUGUGAAAAACUCCGGUGGUAUGAGAUGGACCCGCG